ensembl:lncRNA
GGUCCAAAGAGUAGAAAAGAAAGGUUGGAAACCAAUAGGGAUAAACAAACAAACAACAAAAUAAACCACCCUGCAGAUUUUCAACUUUCAGUGUCAUUUCAAAUUUCAGGAAAUAAAUGUGGAAAACAGACUGAUGACAGCUUUGUGACAUCCACCCCUCUGCCUCCGAGUGCCUUUUAUCCAACAGGAAAACAAAGCAUGCAGUUAAGGAAGACUGGAAAAAUUAAGUCUGUAUACUCCAUGGACCGCAGUCCCCUGGGGUGUUGUUCCUGCUCCACUUUGGGUCCCCCACAUCCAGAAUGCCUGCAGAGUAUUCCCAGCAUGGAGCACCUCCCUCCAAGUCCUG